UACGUAGGGGGCUAGCGUUGUUCGGAAUCACUGGGCGUAAAGGGCGUGUAGGCGGUCAAGUAAGUGGAAUGUGAAACGCCUCGGCUUACCCGAGGACCUGCAUCCCAAACUGCUUGGCUUGAGUAUGGGAGAGGAUGAGGGAAUUCCUGGUGUAGCGGUGAAAUGCGUAGAUAUCAGGAGGAACACCGGUGGCGAAAGCGCUCAUCUGGCCCAAUACUGACGCUGAGGCGCGAAAGCUAGGGGAGCAAACGGG
rnacentral:rRNA from 1 species